ensembl:lncRNA
AGGUAUGGCCGUAAGCAACUGUAUGCCCUCUUCCUAAUCUUUUAAAAUGUGUCAAAGGUUUUGGAGUUUUGACAAUGAAAUGGAGUCACUUUCUAAGUUCUUCUCUGUGUCUUUUACAGAUAGAAAUGAAAAAGCUUACGGCACCUGGGAUUCCCGGGCGGUCUUCCAUCCAAGUACUAACCAGGCCCUACUCUGCUUAGCUUCUGAGAUCAGACGAGAUCAGGCAGAGCCAGAGAGGUAUGGCCGUAAGCAACUGUAUGUCCUCUUCCUAAUCUUUUAAAAUGUGUCAAAGGUUUUGGAGUUUUGAUAAUGAAAAAGGAUUCACUUUCUAAUGCCUUCUCAAUUUCUUCCAGAGAGAGAAAUGAAAAAGCUUACGGCACCUGGGAUUCCCAGGCGGUCUUCCAUCCAAGUACUAACCAGGCCCUACUCUGCUUAGCUUCUGAGAUCAGACGAGAUCAGGCGGAGCCAGAGAGGUAUGGCCGUAAGCAACUGUAUGUCCUCUUCCUAAUCUUUUAAAAUGUGUCAAAGGUUUUGGAGUUUUGACAAUGAAAUGGAGUCACUUUCUAAGGCCUUCUCUGUGUCUUUUACAGAUAGAAAUGAAAAAGCUUACGGCACCUGGGAUUCCCAGGCGGUCUUCCAUCCAAGUACUAACCAGGCCCUACUCUGCUUAGCUUCUGAGAUCAGACGAGAUCAGGCGGAGCCAGAGAGGUAUGGCCGUAAGCAACUGUAUGUCCUCUUCCUAAUCUUUUAAAAUGUGUCAAAGGUUUUGGAGUUUUGAUAAUGAAAUAGAAGUCACUUUCUAAUGCCUUCUCGAUUUCUUCCAGAGAGAGAAAUGAAAAAGCUUACGGCACCUGGGAUUCCCAGGCGGUCUUCCAUCCAAGUACUAACCAGGCCCUACUCUGCUUAGCUUCUGAGAUCAGACGAGAUCAGGCGGAGCCAGAGAGGUAUGGCCGUAAGCAACUGUAUGUCCUCUUCCUAAUCUUUUAAAAUGUGUCAAAGGUUUUGUAGUUUUGACAAUUAAAUGGAGUCACUUUCUAAGGCCUUCUCUGUGUCUUUUACAGAUCGAAUUGAAAAAGCUUACGGCACAUGGGAUUCCCAGGCGGUCUUCCAUCCAAGUACUAACCAGGCCCUACUCUGCUUAGCUUCUGAGAUCAGACGAGAUCAGGCGGAGCCAGAGAGGUAUGGCCGUAAGCAACUGUAUGUCCUCUUCCUAAUCUUUUAAAAUGUGUCAAAGUUUUUGUAGUUUUGACAAUGAAAUGGAGUCACUUUCUAAGUUCUUCUCUGUGUCUUUUACAGAUAGAAAUGAAAAAGCUUACGGCACCUGGGAUUCCCAGGCGGUCUUCCAUCCAAGUACUAACCAGGCCCUACUCUGCUUAGCUUCUGAGAUCAGACGAGAUCAGGCAGAGCCAGAGAGGUAUGGCCGUAAGCAACUGUAUGUCCUCUUCCUAAUCUUUUAAAAUGUGUCAAAGGUUUUGGAGUUUUGAUAAUGAAAAAGGAGUCACUUUCUAAUGCCUGCUCGAUUUCUUCCAGAGAGAGAAAUGAAAAAGCUUACGGCACCUGGGAUUCCCAGGCGGUCUUCCAUCCAAGUACUAACCAGGCCCUACUCUGCUUAGCUUCUGAGAUCAGACGAGAUCAGGCGGAGCCAGAGAGGUAUGGCCGUAAGCAACUGUAUGUCCUCUACCUAAUCUUUUAAAAUGUGUCAAAGGUUUUGGAGUUUUGACAAUGAAAUGGAGUCACUUUCUAAGUUCUUCUCUGUGUCUUUUACAGAUAGAAAUGAAAAAGCUUACGGCACCUGGGAUUCCCAGGCGGUCUUCCAUCCAAGUACUAACCAGGCCCUACUCUGCUUAGCUUCUGAGAUCAGACGAGAUCAGGCGGAGCCAGAGAGGUAUGGCCGUAAGCAACUGUAUGUCCUCUUCCUAAUCUUUUAAAAUGUGUCAAAGGUUUUGGAGAUUUGAUAAUGAAAAAGGAGUCACUUUCUAAUGCCUGCUCGAUU